rnacentral:snRNA from 1 species
AUUGCUUCUCGGCCUUUUGGCUAAGAUCAAGUGUAGUAUCUAUAAAUAUGAUAGGGAAGAAAUAAACCUUCUCAUUCAAACUUUC